CAGCAGCCGCGGGAAUACGAAGGGGGCUAGCGUUGCUCGGAAUUACUGGGCGUAAAGGGAGCGUAGGCGGAUCGUUAAGUUGGGGGUGAAAGCCCGGGGCUCAACCUCGGAAUUGCCUUCAAUACUGGCGAUCUUGAGUAUGGAAGAGGUAUGUGGAACUCCGAGUGUAGAGGUGAAAUUCGUAGAUAUUCGGAAGAACACCAGUGGCGAAGGCGACAUACUGGUCCAUUACUGACGCUGAGGCUCGAAAGCGUGGGGAGCAAACAGGAUUAGAUACCCGCGUAGUCCCUGUCUCUUAUAC
rnacentral:rRNA from 1 species